CGUGGAAUCGCGGCUUGGCUUGGCAAGGACCCAAAGGCCCCAUUCCCGUCUCCAUUCAGGAAUUUCAGCCCCAGCUUCCCAAAUUCCACCCUAAUUCCAAAGGUUUAUGCACACAAGCACCGCGCGGGGAGGUCUCCGGGGCGGACCCGCCAGAACCAGGAAAUGCAGAGCCGAAAUUUAACCCCAAAAACCUGGGAGAAGGCUCAUUCCCCGUCCUGGAAAUUAAAAAUAAAAAAUAUCCCUGGCGUAGGGAUUUCCCCAAGAAAUCCCUGGAAAAGCUUCGGGAGCGGGCAGGGCGGUGUCACCUCCUGGCACCUCCCGAAUCCCGCACAAAGGUCCCCGUUCCACCCGUUUGUUUAAACAAACCCAUUCCCGGCGGGAUAAACCCCCAGGAAUACCCAGCAGGGAUUCGCACCCGAGCUGGGCUCCGGCCCGGGGGGAAUUUGGGAUUUUCCCGGAGUUUCUGCCGGCGGGGAGGCUCCGGGACACCCCGGCUGAGGCUCCCGGAGCUUUUCCAUGCUCCCGGAUAUUCCCGGAGAUGAAAUCCCGCCCGGAUCCGGCCGUGCUGGGACUGUCCGAGGGGUGUGAUCCGUCUGGAACCGGGGCGAGCGCCCGGCCCUGAGCAGCACCGGGACCCCCCCAGCGCCCUGGAGCCCCCCAAAAUCACCCCAGAGCCCCGCGGGGACCCACCCCCGAGGCGCCGCUGCGUGUCCGUCCUGGAGCGCGGCCCGGCCUGGGAGGAGGAGGAGGAGGAGGAGGAGGAGGAAGAGCGAGCGGCCCGGGUGUCCCUGCGGAGAGGGGGGACGCUCCGGAGCCCCCCGGACCCGUUCCGCCGGCACAGCUGGGAGCCGGGCAGGGAUCCGCGGGGCAUCCCGGGCUACGGCCGGCUCAGCGGGAGCCCCGAGCUCGGCUCCAGCCCGGAGCAGCUUGGGGGGCUCUGCCGGCAGCAGCGGGACCCCCGGAGAGCCCCCCUGGUGCACAGCAGUGACCGGCUGGACUCGCUGCUCUGGCAGGACCUGGAGGACGAGGCCGACCUGAGGCGGGCACAGGAGGACGCUCAGAGGCUCCCGGCUCCCCGGGCCGGGCCGCGCUCCCGGGGCUGGUCCCGCUUCAAAUCCGCGUCUCUCGGUGUCAUCUCCGGUGUCCCCGGCCAGGAGGGUGAGUCUGUCCCCCGCGUCCCCCCGGCGCUGUCCCUGCUGCGACCUCCCCGCUAACGACCCGAAAUCGAUGGCGCUGCCACCGCUGUUAAUUAUCCCCCCCCCGGUAGCGUUAAUUAUCCCUCGGCAGCUCCUCGCGGCCCUUUCCUAAAUCU